GACUCCAGCGAAAUUACAGGGAAUUCGUGGUCACGGGACCGGCCUCCGCCAAUCGCUCGUCUGGGCCUGGUGGAAAACAGAGAGCAUUAUUUGGUUUAAUUGAUUCAAAAACACCAGAGGACCACGACCAGGACACCAUGAGCCCCCAUUCCUACACCAGUGCCUCACAUGCUCUCUCCCCAAUGCCUCCGUUUCUCCAGAAAAGCUAGAGGAACCUUUUCCUCAUCCCCUUCGAAGGAAAAGAUGAGUGAGGAUCUCCGCGUUGGAGGAAGAGGGAGUCGAAAGAGGCUUCCACUCUUUGAAAAAGACCCAAUGGUGGUUGGGCUUCGGGUCACGUGACACCUUCUUUGUGGCUCCGGAAGAGGAUUGUGAAGUUUAGGUUUCGUGGAAGAAACCGAUAAUUGAGGAAAAAAAAAAAUCAAGAUUUGGGGGGAAUUACCUACAAAGAUGUAAGGUGUGUUAAUUUGGGCGCUUCUUGGAUUCUACCCUGAGGAGGAGGCGCGUGGUGAGAGGAGAGCUCCACCAGCUGCGCGCUCGUGUACGCCGUCCGCGCCCGCUUGGACGCCGCCGACCCCGGGGGGCUCUUGUCCCCUCCCCCGCCGCCGCCGCCACCGCCCCCGCUGCCACCACUGCCUCCGCCGCCGCCGCCACCGCCGCCGCCACCACAGCCCUCUGCUGGAUCCGAGGGGGAGGGGUGGGAAGGGGAGAAAAUGAAAUAAAAGAUAAUUACUGAACACGCCGAAAUUGAAUGCAUCGUUUCUUAAUAAAUCCAGGCCUGGACUCAGAGCCCCCGCCGCCCUCCCCUUCGGGUCCCCGCCGCCUCCUCACUCCCCCACCCCACCGCCCGUCGCAUUAGCGGACACUCUAUAAUAGUGGCAUUUAUUAAGAGACC
rnacentral:lncRNA from 1 species